CGAAUCCUCUUCCUCAGUCAGCAUCCCAGGCUCUCUCUCUCUCUCUCUCUCUCUCUCUCUCUCUUCUUUCUGCCGCGAUGCCUCACUCUCAGUCCCUCGCCUAACCCUUCCGAACCAAGUCAGCCGAUCUUCUCAGUCCUCUCCCUCACACUCUAAUUGAUCAGUGUCUCAGUCUCAGAAAUUUCGCCUCGAAUUGCUAACCGGUGGUGUGCUUGCUGCUUUCGUGGUGAUUUUGGAUCAAUCUGACUCAGUCCCAAUGGUGAAGUAUGAACGCAACUUGGGAAAGCGACACAGGCGUAGUGAAGGAAAGUACUUGGGAAAGAAUGAAAGGGAAAAGGGAGUAUGCAACUCGAAGUACAAUCGCAACUUGGGAAAGCAAUGCAAACGUAGUGAAGGAAAGAACUUGGAGAAGAAUGAGGGGGAAAAGGGUGUAUACAACUUGGGGAAGUUUGAGUGCAACUUGGGAAAUCAACGCAGAUGUUGUGAAGGAAACAAUGAGGGAAAAAAAGGUGUGUACAACUUGUUGGACAGAAUUAGUGCAUUGCCAGAUGAAAUUCUUGUCAGUAUAUUGGCUCUCUUGCCGCUAAAGGAAGCCGCAGCUACUAGUAUACUUUCUAGACGUUGGCAGUAUGUGUGGAUGUCCACUAUGGUUCUCAACUUUGAUGCUAACUUUGAUGUUGGUAGCAAUAUCUGCCACUUUGGAGCCCUCAAACGAAAAUUAAGAGACCUGGAAAGUGGUAGAUAUGUCAAUUGGGUGAAUCGUGUGGUGGAACAACAUAGAGGCCCAAACAUCGAGGAAUUCAGGGCUUGCUUUCAACUAAAUGAUCGGUUUACAAAUGGAUUCAGUUUGCAAUUGAAAAGGGAGUUACAACAUUCGUGUUGAAGUUUUUUUACCAAUAGGACAGUGCUUCAUAAAUUUCUAUGCUUGUAUUCUUACAUUCCAAGUCUACGCCCCUGUGGAUACAAAGUUGGAUUUCAGUUCCUCAAAGUUCUUCAUUUCCAAUGGGUUGAUGUGACUGAUGAAGUUCUUGAAUACUUCUUUUCCAACUGUGCAGUUCUUGAACGAGUAACCGUGUACGGAACAAAAAGUCUAGUUAAUUUAAGAGUUGUUCGUCCAUCGGCUGCAUUGAAGCAUUUAGCUAUAGGAGCUUGUCUUGGCCUUCAAGGCAUAGAGAUUUGUGAGGCAAACCUUGUUUCAUUUAAAUAUAAUGGAAAUGUGAUAAACCUGCUUCUCACUAAUGUACCAUUGCUUGUAGAGGUGUCCAUUUCCUAUAUUUCCAACCCCCAUGCAUUCAUAGAGCUUUUCUCUAGCAAACUUUCAUGCUGUCUUUCGCAACUGGAGAUUCUCAUGCUGAAAAUCACUAGAGCGGAUUAUAAUCCGAAACAUGUGUUUCCUAUGCUGGCAAAUCUCAAGCAUUUGGAAUUAAUAGUUCAUGCGGAUUACCGUCUGGCUCUUCAUCAUUUAACUUCUCUUCUAAAAGCAUCUCCUUUCUUGCAAAGACUUGUGUUGAAGUUGGAUUUCAUUGUAUCCCUGGAGGGCAUAGAAAAAAUAAAGAAGGCUGCGAAAUGCCCCCAUCAUUACCUCAAGGUAGUAGAAAUAGUCGGGUAUCGUGUGCGUGCAUUUGCUGUUGAUCAUAUCUUGUUCUUAAUAAAGAGUGCUACUGCAUUAGAGAAAAUUGUUAUUGAUCCUCUCCGACGUUGGGCGUAUCCCUAUGAACCGGGUAGUGAAGAACUCGCUGAUGAGGCAGAGGCAAGAGAGCACGCUGUGCAACUCAUCAAAACAAAAUUGCCUUCAACUGUUGAAUUUGUACGUCUGUAGUUACAUGGGCCUUGUGCAUGAUAUAGAAUAUGUUUAAUUCCUUUCUAGUUGCUAUUGCAUUGCAAACUCUAUAUAUCAUUUUGUUUACACCUGGUUCAAACAUAAUUCUAUAUAUAACUACACUACGUAAUUCACAUGUCA